GACGAACGCUGGCGGCGUGCCUAAUACAUGCAAGUUGAGCGCUGAAGGUUGGUACUUGUACCGACUGGAUGAGCAGCGAACGGGUGAGUAACGCGUGGGGAAUCUGCCUUUGAGCGGGGGACAACAUUUGGAAACGAAUGCUAAUACCGCAUAAAAACUUUAAACACAAGUUUUAAGUUUGAAAGAUGCAAUUGCAUCACUCAAAGAUGAUCCCGCGUUGUAUUAGCUAGUUGGUGAGGUAAAGGCUCACCAAGGCGAUGAUACAUAGCCGACCUGAGAGGGUGAUCGGCAACAUUGGGACUGGGACACGGCCCAAACUCCUACGGGAGGGAGCAGUAGGGAAUCUUCGGCAAUGGACGAAAGUCUGACCGAGCAACGCCGCGUGAGUGAAGAAGGUUUUCGGAUCGUAAAACUCUGUUGGUAGAGAAGAACGUUGGUGAGAGUGGAAAGCUCAUCAAGUGACGGUAACUACCCAGAAAGGGACGGCUAACUACGUG
rnacentral:rRNA from 1 species